UCUCAGACAAGAAUUUAGGUUUCAUUGUUCACAGGCUGAGCUAUUUAAAGAGAAGACAACUUCUUUGCACAGCUGGUUUCAGAGAACCAGUCAGUCAAUUCUGAAAUAUCAAACUAUAUUUACCUCCUUUCUAGCUCCUGAUGCAUGCUGUAAUUCCAGAGGCUGGUAAUGCUGCUAAUGAAGAGGUGUGAUUGUUCCCAAACAAAAAUGUGGCCUGUCAAACAACAGGUUCUUAAAGUAAUCACAUUAAAGCCAUUAAGUCAGUCA